AAGUUUCUUAAGCAUUUUUUGUAUCCAAUUUAUUGAAAAAAAAAUAAAAGAGAAUCACGUUAAUUAUUAUUUUACUAAACUUAGAUUGAAUCAAAUAAUCUGCUAACUAUCAGGCAUGUAUGGUAUCAAAGAUGAAAAGAUAAUUAUUCAAUUAAUAUGUGAAAUAAGAACCAUAAUCAUCAAAGAAAACAUGUAGGGCAUUAAUAAAAGGAUAAUUAUUUCAUUAAUUAAGAUUUCUCCAUUAAUCUGAACAUAAGAAAAUUAAUUAAACAUACUUGAAAGGAGUGCAACAAAAUUAUUAAUAGAACCAGCCAUGGAAAGCUUUCAAAGACUACUACUGCUCCUCCUCUUGUCUGCAAUCUAGCUUCUGAAUUGUAUCUAUUGUGGCUGAAUUCUUGGCCGUAUAUAAUGCUGAAGACCGUCCACUACUGGCCAAAUUCAAUUCGAAGUCUAAUUUAAAAUCCUUUUCCAUUUGUAAAAUCAAUCUUUCUAAUUAGCGCCACCAUUACUUGUCAAUGCCUUAAACCAUUAAUUUUUUCCCCACUUUUGGUAGCUCUGCCCAUGCUUUCCAAUUGUAGAAUUAUAAUUCCUUCUAAAUGCAAAUUAAUCCUAGCUUCAGCUGCUGUACGCUCAAGCUAAGCCAUCUUCAAUGCUUCCCCAAAAUUGUUAAGAGAUUAAUUAUGCACUUUUCAUCCAUAACCUCCAAUUAAUUUACUGUUCAAUAAAGUAAUUCAAUUAACUAAAAUUAACAAAUAUAUAAUUAAGGGUAAAUUAUGUAAAUUUAUGGGCUUAUCAAAUACUCCUGAAGUUAGAUUUUGUUGGUCUUUAAGCAAAAAAAAUAAAAAUAAAAAUAAAGAAGCAAAAAGAAAUUCCUAGCUAAACCAUUUUCGGAGGUGAUUGCGAUAGCAUUUAGUGUAGGCAACAAGCAUUUGAAUCCCUAGGUAACUGUAGUGGAUGAGUUAUAAGCUCAUGAAAGCUUCAGCAAUAAUACCCACAACUAUUAUAUAUAUAUAUAUAUUUCAAUGACAAAAUAACAUAAAAAGUGUUAGCUUGAACCAGCAAGCCAUUGAUUCAAGACCCCCAAAGAUCCAAUCUUAGACUUUAAAUCCCGAAAUCCAAAACAUGAUAGCCCUAAUUGAUGUGACCGAGGCCAGUUUAACCCAAACCAACAAGAAAUAAUCACAAAGGAGCAAUUAAUUAGAACAAAAGAUCAACAUAAGAGGUUUAGAAUGGUUCAGCUAUUAUAAAUUGAAUGAGCUAAAGAAAUUAUCAUAAGUCUUUAUAUACAAUCAAAAAAAGAUCUAGAAAGAUCCACCUACUGUCGGCAUCCGUAAUUUUCCCACUAUUUCCAGUAGCUUUAAGAGCUAUUU
rnacentral:lncRNA from 1 species